CCUAGGGGUGGCAGCAGUCGAGAAUCAUUCACAAUGGGGGAAACCCUGAUGGUGCGACGCCGCGUGGGGGAAUGAAGGUCUUCGGAUUGUAAACCCCUGACAUGUGGGAGCAAAUUAAAAAGAUAGUACCACAAGAGGAAGAGACGGCUAACUCUGUGCCAGCAGCCGCGGUAAUACAGAGGUCUCAAGCGUUGUUCGGAACCACGGGGCGUACAGCGUGCGUAGGCUGUUAGGUAAGACGUGAGUGAAGGGGGCGGGCUCAACCCGCGGACGGCUCAUGAUACUGCGAGACUAGAGUAAUGGAGAGGGAGCCGGAAUUCGCGGUGUAGCAGUGAAAUGCGUAGAUAUCGAGAGGAACACUCGUGGCGAAGGCGGGUUCCUGGACAUUAACUGACGCUGAGGCACGAAGGCCAGGGGAGCGAAAGGGAUUAGAUACCCCAGUAGUC
rnacentral:rRNA from 1 species